GAAGCGGUAGCUCAGUGGUUAAGAUGUCAGACUCCUGAUCGGAAGGUUGUGAGUUUAAUCCUCAGCACCACCA